rnacentral:rRNA from 1 species
AUUGAACGCUGGCGGCAUGCCUUACACAUGCAAGUCGAACGGCAGCACGGGAGCAAUCCUGGUGGCGAGUGGCGAACGGGUGAGUAAUAUAUCGGAACGUGCCCAGUAGUGGGGGAUAGCCCGGCGAAAGCCGGAUUAAUACCGCAUACGACCUGAGGGUGAAAGCGGGGGAUCGCAAGACCUCGCGCUAUUGGAGCGGCCGAUAUCAGAUUAGCUAGUUGGUGGGGUAAAGGCCUACCAAGGCUACGAUCUGUAGUUGGUCUGAGAGGACGACCAGCCACACUGGGACUGAGACACGGCCCAGACUCCUACGGGAGGCAGCAGUGGGGAAUUUUGGACAAUGGGCGCAAGCCUGAUCCAGCAUUGCCGCGUGCAGGAAGAAGGCCUCGGUUGUAACGUAG